rnacentral:rRNA from 1 species
AUGAACGCUGGCGGCGUGCCUCAUACAUGCAAGUCGAGCGAACGGACGAGAAGCUUGCUUCUCUGAUGUUAGCGGCGGACGGGUGAGUAACACGUGGAUAACCUACCUAUAAGACUGGGAUAACUUCGGGAAACCGGAGCUAAUACCGGAUGAUAUUUUGAACCGCAUGGUUCAAAAGUGAAAGACGGUCUUGCUGUCACUUAUAGAUGGACCCGCGCUGCAUUAGCUAGUUGGUAAGGUAACGGCUUACCAAGGCAACGAUGCAUAGCCGACCUGAGAGGGUGAUCGGCCACACUGGAACUGAGACACGGUCCAGACUCCUACGGGAGGCAGCAGUAGGGAAUCUUCCGCAAUGGGCGAAAGCCUGACGGAGCAACGCCGCGUGAGUGAUGAAGGUCUUCGGAUCGUAAAACUCUGUUAUUAGGGAAGAACAUAUGUGUAAGUAACUGUGCACAUCUUGACGGUACCUAAUCAGAAAGCCACGGCUAACUACGUG